AACAGAUUUUCCAGGUAUCCCUUCUUAUAUACCUCAAGCAUUCAACAUCCUAGCCAUGCAAGUAAUUUGAAAAUAACUAAAGUAUAGUACUGGAAAGUAGAAUAGCAUGAAAAACUUAAUUUUGUGGACAUUGCCUUUUUUAAUCAGCUCCUUAUCUUGUACUUUGUUUUGGGUGGCUUUUCUGCUCUGGAGGUAUGCACUAACAAAACGUUUUCCUCCUUUCAUAUACGCAUGUUAAUUAGCAAUGUGAGCAAUAUUUCCUACCAUACUUCACUCCCAAUAUUUUUGAGAUGUUUGUAUAAAAUGGAAUUUAAUGUUCACCUAUGAUUGUAUAUGAACCACAGAGGAGCCCAUUUAUUAAUAAUAAACUUUUUUAAUAGUUAAAUGUUACGGGGAAAAUAAUAAAAAAAAAACUGGGAAACAUUGUAAACAGCUUAAGUUUAUUUUGUGUAUGACUGAGGCACUCUGUUGCAGGAAGGUGUGUAAUUGGGUUCUCUCUGCUUCCAAAUACACUCAUUCAAACCAUUUAUUAUCCUGUGUAAUUUUUAACAUGGUUUGAGUAGGUGUAUAGCAACUCAUGUUGAAAUGGGUAAAUUGUGUUAUGUUUUUGGUGGCACACAUGCCCUUGGGACCUUAUAUCUCAAGCUUCAUGUGUAUGGUUUCCCUUUAGCCCACUCACUACCCCAGUCUCCCACAAACCCUUUGUCCUAAUAAGUUCCCUUUGUAAAAGGAGUAGUAUCUGUUUUGAGCUACCAGUUCAGGUGAUCAGAAAUGCUGCUGUCCUCAGUGUUGUCUUACUAAAAUAAAAUGUAGGCCCUUUGGAUCUUUGACAGUAACUAGUUUAAAAGACGAGAAUGGAAAAAAUGUGUAUAUACUCUAGAAGUAAAAUAUACACUCACAUGCUUUCCAGUUUUUCAAUUAAAUGAGUUUUAUGCCAUGGAGGUGCAGAUCUUCCGAAGAGAUGAAAAAUUGGGGCAUUUUUAGUUUGUGAUUUAUGCUUUUUUGAGUUGUCGGGUGUGAUUUCAAAGUAUAUCUAAAAGAACCAGUGUUCUUUAAAAUUAUUUAAAGCAGUGUUUGGGAGAGGGAAAAUUGUACCAUUUGCCAUCAUUGGUCAUUUAAGAGCAUGUAGCAUCACUUAAUCUGUUGGGCAUCAUUGCCCAUUUCAUAGCUUUACUCAUUGUAAUGGGGAAUAUUGCAGCAUCCUCAGGACUGACAUCUGAAAAAGGCUCAAGUCCUUAUACUGCUCCUUGCUUGUUGACUUUGUUUUUUAAAAAUGUGCCUGGUGUCAACUUUUAAGCAACAGCACUGCCUAAAAGCAAGCAGAGAAAAGAAUCCCAACACCAUUCUAUAUAGGCAACUUUUUAAAAUUCGAUAUAGAAAAUCUGUUAAAGAUUUACAGUGUUUUAUGUAUAAAAAAAAUUUUGUAUGAAGUAGCUAAAUAUUUUCAUUUCAUUACUUUGAUGUAAGGAGG
rnacentral:lncRNA from 1 species